rnacentral:tRNA from 1 species
GGCCUAAUGGCUCAGUUGGUUAGAGCGCCGCCCUGUCACGGCGGAGGUCGCGGGUUCGAGUCCCGCUUAGGUCG